UUUUUUUUCCUAUUAUUUAUUGGAUUGGAUUUUAUUUUCCCCAGCCGGCACAGGAUUGGCAGCUUCUUGUGGGCAAACGCGGGGAUGGGUUGAAGAAGAAGGAUUUGAGGAAAAAAGAAAGUCAGCCGCUUCAGAAGUUCUAUUCGUUGAAGCCGAGCUUAGCAGGGUCAAGCUCUCUAGUGCCAAAGAAGUUGGCUUCGUCGUCGAUGGUGGUGCGGCGAACAUGAAGAAGGUGUCUCCUGUGUAUCCAAUUCUGGCGUCCUCGCUUGGUUUAAAUAUGAUAAAGACGAUAUCCGGGUCGCUGCAUUAGCAGCACAAAAAGCUUUGUUUGCUGUUUCGCUCUCGUCCAUGGCGGCCAUGGUCUGAGCUUCCAGAGGAACUGUUGGAGUUGGUCUUCAAAAGAGUUGGUUUUGUUGAUAUAUUUCGUAUGAAAUUGGUUUGUUGCGCCUGGAAUAUAGCCCUGCGAUCCUGUACGGCCAGCUCCCGAUGUUACACUCUAUGGCUGAUGUUUCCUAAUGAUCGGCACGCCAAAAUUCGCCCCUUUUUCAGUCUUGCAGAGAAUAAGUUUUACGACAUCGACAACCUCCGUCCAUACGACGACUCUAAUUAUUCUAAUGAUUAUGGUGUUGUGGGAUGGUUGGUGCUUUACACCGUAUUAGGAAAGCUAUAUAUUAUUAAUCCAUUUUCAUCAUGCAUAGUCCCACUUCCAAAUAAGAUCAUCAUCUCCAAAGACAAGAUGAGAAAGCAAUUCGUUCAGUUUCUAAAGCCAUUAUCCCAUUUGAUUUAUCAUAUGGUGGCAAAAACAACUUUUGUGUUGUGAUAAUUUAUGGACAAUGUCCAAAAAAACUAGGACUCACUAUUGCAAUUAAUGCUGCACAUUUCUAAAGAGAAAUUAAAAAUAAAUAUUU